UGUGGAAUUCAAGAGAUUAGGUAAACUCGCCCCCGUAAAUAACUUUAUUUAAAAUAUUUUUGUGUAGGUGAAAGCAGGUAUAUGGAAUUCAGCAGAUUCUUGAAUAAGACAACGGGUUUCCCAAGUUAUCAAUCACCAGUAUAAACACAUAUUAAUUUAAGUCUUUAAUAUAUAGAAUAAUACCAUGAAAGAUCUGUCUUUUAUAAAAGAUAUUCUGGUUCCUUUUAAUCCAAAAGUUAAUUAGCGGGAAGGUUUGUAAAUGCAUAUUUUCUAAUUAGCAAUAGGGAGUUCCCCUCCCACCCCCCCAAAAAACCCUAAACGCUGGGUCUGAUUUAGCAGGGGCCCAACGUUGAGACUUGAUGCCUCCCUCCUCCUUAAACAGCCCUCUGGCAUUCUGGGUUCCAGCCCUCUGUGUUCCCUUCUGGUGAAUCACCAUCUGAUUCCUGCAGGUUCAGGAAAUGUUCUUCCCCAGUCUACAAAUCUCACCUAUUCUCAGGUGUGAGUCAUUUCUAUUAACAAGAGAGCAAGUUGCUCCAGUUGUUCCCGAGCAGGAGAGUUUGAAAGGGUGCCCCAAAGGACAAUCUCAAGGUGGGUAGGGGAGCACCUACCUUCUCUGGCAGGGCGAAAAAAAAUGCUUAUUUUUUACGCUUUAACAAAAAAAACAACUUCCCUGCCAACCUUAGGUUUAUUCUUAAUUAGAGUUGAGAAGCCUGUUUCGACUUGAAGACACCCGAAUCAGGUGAAUGGAGAGCCAGCUACCGCAAUGAAAGAGAUGAGGACACUGAGUCACAGAGAUGUUAAGUAACUUUCCCAGGGCCACACAGUGGCAUUCGGAUGGAGAGAGCAUACACAGAAACGGUCCAUGCUUCCUGGCACACUGAAAGAGCACAGAAAAACAGACAAUUCUUAUGUGGCACAGGUGUUCCUAUCCAAAGAAUGAGCCUUUUCUGAAUCGUGGGGAUAUCUUUUUUUUUUCUUUUUUUAAAAGUAAAGAUCGAAACACGGUGUGUUCAAAUUCCUGCCUAACUGUUUCUCUACCCCCGACCCUGGCCCCCCAGAAAUCAAACUAGGAAUAACCUAGCUGAGCCCUUGCCUCAAUCGUCCCCAAGUGUUUCCUGACACGUAUUUUUGUUUACAGUCCCUCAGAACUAAAGAAUGGGGCUCAACUUGACACUUGCAAAAUUACCAGGUAAGCUGUAGGGAAAAAUGCAAAGAAAAUCUUACUUGAUCAAUAACUGUUAUUUACACUAUGUGGCAAUUUAGGGGUUUUAGCGGUCACCAACCAACUAACAAAAUAAACCAGCAUUUAUCCUUGCCUUUCAUUAAAUGUAAAACAGCAAACAUGCAGGGUGGCAUCACUGAGAGAAAUUUAACUUGCCGUCGCUUUGUUUUUAAGCUUUGUUUCAUCUGGAGACCAUCUCUAAAAGAACAAGAAAGAUUAAACUAAUAAUUGGGGAAGUUUUUCAUACCCAAACUAAAGUACAUAUUACUUUUCAGAUGUAACAGUCUAGAUCAAGGUUCACUGAGAUUCCCCAAGAGGUCAAGACAACAUCUACCUACACUACUGGGUAGCUAGAAAAUGAUCAUGCAAGGGCAGCUGUGCCAGGGGAGUGACACCCUGUAAUUUGCGUGACUUUGGUAUUUCAUUCCCACCUGGCAGGUAGAGCAGUGAUACAUCGUUGAUAUUUUCACACUUUGUGCCAAAGUGUGACAUGCCCCAACGAGCAACAAUGCAGCUUCACCAAAAGCCAAAGGACCAAGAUUCUUCAAUACAUAUCAUUCAGAAUGUGACUGCUAUUAAUGAGACACAAGUCAAGAGAGUGAACAUCUACUAAGUACUAGAUACUGUGCUUGAAAUGUAUGCAGAGCGUUUAACUCUGAGAAGAUCCAGCAAAAUGGCCGCUAUUUAUUCCAUGCUACAAAGUCCUGAAGUGACUGAACCAGCAUCGUCAAAGAGGACUCUCUGCAGUGCCCUCUAUCUGCCCUGUCCAAUACAGGAGCCACAUGUGGCUAAUGCAACAUCUGGCUACAAAGCCCAUGCGUUUCUCCAGCACACACAGGCGUACACACAAUCCCCCUUGCACACAAACACAGGCAGCCACAGAUGCAACACACAUACCACAAAACCACUCUCACAAACACACUGGCACAAAAUGAUGAUUUGCUGUGGAACCAGUGUUCUUAUGUCAUUGCCUCUGCUAGCUUAAUUGAAAAGGAGUUGGAGGAGGGGGAGCAGAGGGGAGAAUAAGAAAGGGAUUUUUUACCCUCAAUUAUCACUCUGUAAUCAAGCUCUGCACUAAACAAACCGGGAAUAACAUCCUGGGAGACAAGGAGUGUGUGAGCUGUGAGAAAACAGCCUUUACACUGUAAAAACAGCUUCUACUUUUUCUUAAUUGAAUCACCAAACUACUUGUCAUUAAAAAUGUUCCCUAACCUGGCCAAGCUCUUUACUGACAGCAAAGAACAACAUGAUAAAACCGCCUGGGGAAAGAAAGCCACUCACUUUUAACGGUCUUUGUUCUUGAGUGGGAACAUUGCAGAGAAACGCUUCUGGGCAUAGCCACAGGCUUUGGAAAAACUGGGGCAAUGAUACAGAAGAGAAGAAAGGCUGGCAGGAAAGAAUAUACCACAGACUUAAUUCUAAAAAAAAAAAAAAAAAAAUCGAUGUCACACAGAUAUUAGGUUCUGAACCUUCCAGAGCAACCCACAGAUGGCUAUUCCUGCUUCUCAGGAACCAUUUUUCUCUCUACUACCAUAUUAUUGCAUAGGAUAACCCGUAACAGGCUUUAACCACUAAUUUGUUUAAGCUGCCUCAUAAAUGUAGAAUUUGUAAAUGAAGUAAUAAACAAGCCCAAGCCUAUUCCAUUGAAUUAAGAAGUCCUAUAUUCUAAAACGUUAAUCCCAUACGUAAAGUAAAGAAGUAAAACUGUGAGGUGACAUGAUCAGUAGACUGUCUCAAAGCCACGAAACGGUUCAAUAAUCACUGUGGGACAAGGUUACUCGUACCUGAUAUUAUUUAUGACUCAGAGUAUCUUUAAGGACUAUUUCUGACAUGCUGAUUUAAGAUUGUGUUUGAUAAUAAACAUAACUGAUCAGUAAAUCGUCAUUUAGUAAGAGUGCUUGUUCCUACAAUUAAAACUUUAAAGUAUAUAAUAAACAGACACAAAAUCCCUACCCAACCCUGAGAAGUAUGGGUCCUUCCAUUCCACAAUGGAUAAGCACAGCAGAUCCAGGGAGCCAACACUAAGGGUGGAAAUACUCCAUGCCUAUUAUGCUAGGGUUGGUGAACCAUUCUACUUGCAUUUACAAUGGUUUUGAAAAUCAUUCGUUAGUAAUUGUUACAAGGUAUAACCAGUGUUCCAGGAGAUGAUGUAGCUGCCCCUUUUCAGGCUGGGUCCCUCAGCUAGACCACUUAUCCUGAUUAAAAGUUACUUGUCCUGUCUCUACUUGCCUUAGGGUUCUAUUCUGGGUUAGACGAAAGUAACUGCUAAUAGUUUAACUGGGGAAAUUAAGUCAAGCAGCUAUCUUAACCCAGGUAAAGCUGCACAUCUUAAGAAGCUUCUAAGGUCAUGGAUGCUGAUGUAGAUCUGGUGGAGCAAAAGCUGCCAAGCCUGAGACACUUCAUUAAGUCAAAAUAGGCUUGAACGAUACUGUUCCAAGACAAUAUUUGAAACUGGCAACAGUAGUACAGACGGCAGCUGAAUCAGGCAUUUUAAACUUGUAAAGCUUAAUAAUACUGUGGGUCUCAUCAUAACAGGCUAGUCCAGGUAUAAAUUACCAGCCUGUGUAAGGACAUUUAAGCCAGGGAAACCAGUUUUUAAAAACACUUGUAGCAGAGAAUAAAAGGGAAAGAAUCAGAAAGAAGACAAGGUUACUCGGGAAGAGCCUACACUUAAAUUUCAGGCAGCAGUUUAAGAACCUGUUUUUGGAUUAUAAUCAUCAAAACUAUCUUCCUUGGUUCACUUCUUCAAAGAAGGGAAACAAAAUAUAUACUUUGCUGCCUGUCAUGUAGGGAAAUGAGGGCUAAAUUCAUGCUGUGAGCUCUAAAACAAAAUCAUUCCAAAACAUAAUUGUAAUUAUAGUAAACAUUAUCAGUGAGACGUGAAAAUUCAGAAAUGACCUUCCUUGUAAACUUACAUCCAAACAGUUCAUUUGUAAAUUGUUAGUUCCAGUU